GGCCUAAUGGCCCAAUGGCAAGGCGCUUGACUACGAUCAGUUCGAAAUCAAGAGAUUCCAGGUUGUAAGUACUACCACGCACCACACUACCCGGUGUUCGAAUUCUAACAGUGCAAUAGCGACCCCUGGUUAGGUCA